rfam:Roseofilum reptotaenium AO1-A Rreptotaenium_AO1_contig_55_len_76093_cov_462.531, whole genome shotgun sequence.
GUUGAAACGCUCUUAAAUCCCUAUGAGGGAUUGAAAC